rnacentral:lncRNA from 1 species
CUCCCAGCUUGCCCUUUUACAAAGAUGCGGUGGGCUUGAAGCAGCUGCUCCUGACAGCGGUGUGUUCUGGGAGGCCUGGCUUCCUCUGGAUUUCUCUGUGCCACUCAGAUUCCUUUUUUUCUACCCUGUGGCUAACAGAUGUUGCCAACGCGUCGGUUUUGGCAAAAAGGUACAUCAGAACCGGAAGGGUUCCAAUGGACCCGGGACUGUCUGCAGCCUAGUUAGGCUCAAACCUGCUUCACAAGGAGUUAGUUCACCCGGGGAGUCAGAACUGACAGGCAAGUGACACUCGGCUUGCGCCCAGAGAUGAAUGAGCCCCUUCGGUGUGGUUCCUGUGGCUUGACGCGAACGUCAACUCCACAUGACAGAUCACGAGACCGAGGCUCACAUGACGGCCAUCACUUGCUGAAGGACACAGCUUUAAAACAGAGCCGCUCCAUUGACUUCCCAUCUAUCAAAAAGUGGGACCUUGGCUUCUGCAGGCCACAGUGUAUUGGCUUCAAGCUCUCUGCACAUGAGUGUUCUUCCCAGAGCCCCUGCAUCCCCCACCCCCUAAGACAGACAAGGUUUGGGGAGCCCCACAGCAGGCCCCCUGUAGAACUGAUAUUGCUUAUUUAUUUAUAUGCUUAUUUCAAAGUAGGCUUUAAGGCAGCUGCCACACAAGGCCAAAUGGGUUAUUAAAUGAAAUACUAUAUACCUCAGGUCCUUAAAGCAGCGUUUACCACAAAG